rnacentral:rRNA from 1 species
AUACGUAGGGGGCGAGCGUUGUCCGGAAUGAUUGGGCGUAAAGGGCGCGUAGGCGGCCCGGUAAGUCUGGAGUGAAAGUCCUGUUUUUAAGAUGGGAAUUGCUUUGGAUACUGUCGGGCUUGAGUGCAGGAGAGGUAAGUGGAAUUCCCAGUGUAGCGGUGAGAUGCGUAGAGAUUGGGAGGAACACCAGUGGCGAAGGCGACUUACUGGACUGUAACUGACGCUGAGGCGCGAAAGUGUGGGGAGCAAACAGGAUUAGAUACCCUGGUAGUCCACACUGUAAACGAUGAAUGCUAGGUGUAGGGGGUAUCGACCCCUUCUGUGCCGCAGUCAACACAAUAAGCAUUCCGCCUGGGGAGUACGGCCGCAAGGUUGAAACUCAAAGGAAUUGACGGGG